AUUGAACGCUGGCGGCAUGCCUUACACAUACAAGUCGAACGGCAGCACGGGAGCAAUCCUGGUGGCGAGUGGCGAACGGGUGAGUAAAGUAUCGGAACGUGCCCAGUCGUGGGGGAUAACGUAGCGAAAGUUACGCUAAUACCGCAUACGAUCUAUGGAUGAAAGCGGGGGAUCGCAAGACCUCGCGCGAUUGGAGCGGCCGAUAUCAGAUUAGGUAGUUGGUGGGGUAAAGGCUCACCAAGCCGACGAUCUGUAGCUGGUCUGAGAGGACGACCAGCCACACUGGGACUGCGACACGGCCCAGACUCCUACGGGAGGCAGCAGUGGGGAAUUUUGGACAAUGGGCGAAAGCCUGAUCCAGCCAUGCCGCGUGCAGGAUGAAGGCCUUCGGGUUGUAAACUGCUUUUGUACGGAACGAAAAGGUUUGGCCUAAUAAGCUCAGCAAUUGACGUUACCCGCAGAAGAAGCACCGGCUAACUCCGUGCCAGCAGCCGCCGUAA
rnacentral:rRNA from 1 species